AGAACGAACGCUGGCGGCAUGCCUAAUACAUGCAAGUCGAACGAACUCUUCGGAGUUAGUGGCGCACGGGUGCGUAACGCGUGGGAAUCUGCCCCUUGGUUCGGAAUAACAGUUGGAAACGACUGCUAAUACCGGAUGAUGACGAAAGUCCAAAGAUUUAUCGCCAAGGGAUGAGCCCGCGUAGGAUUAGCUAGUUGGUGAGGUAAAGGCUCACCAAGGCAACGAUCCUUAGCUGGUCUGAGAGGAUGAUCAGCCACACUGGGACUGAGACACGGCCCAGACUCCUACGGGAGCAGCAGUAGGGAAUAUUGGACAAUGGGCGAAAGCCUGAUCCAGCAAUGCCGACGUGAGUGAUGAAGGCCUUAGGUUGUAAAGCUACUUUUACCCGAGUACUGAUAAUGAACAGUA
rnacentral:rRNA from 1 species